rnacentral:lncRNA from 1 species
CCUGGAGUUGUCCUGGGCAGGCCAGGAGCAGGGCUUCGAUAUUCCUUGUUGGGGCUCUUCCCGCUCAUGGUAGGAUUCUUCUUAAGGAGCUCCUCUUCUUAAGAAGACAAAAUGCCAUGUUGUCUGAAGCUUCAACUGCACCACAGGCACUCUGCAAAAAUAUCUUCUUACAGCUACAAGGGCUUCACCCCCACUAUAUUUGACUGUGUUGGGAGCUCGAGCACAGGCACUUCACUGGUGUAA